rnacentral:lncRNA from 1 species
GUCCGGCCUCUACAGGUAUCCACACGAAGUACUGACUCGAUCGAAGCCUUUGGAUCUCACCGGGGUGCUAGCUCCCUUGCAGAGAUGGCUAUGGAUGGCUGAAGUCCUCUCCUUUGAAUCAACCUUUGAUUGGCUUGAGAGGAAAAAGAAGAAGGAUGGAUUUAGGAAGAAGAAAACAAGACCCGCAGCCUUUCUCUUUUUC